AUUGAACGCUGGCGGCAGGCCUAACACAUGCAAGUCGGACGGUAGCACAGCGAGCUUGCUCUUGGGUGACGAGUGGCGGACGGGUGAGUAAUGUCUGGGGAUCUGCCCGAUAGAGGGGGAUAACCACUGGAAACGGUGGCUAAUACCGCAUAACGUCGCAAGACCAAAGAGGGGGACCUUCGGGCCUCUCACUAUCGGAUGAACCCAGAUGGGAUUAGCUAGUAGGCGGGGUAAUGGCCCACCCAGGCGACGAUACCUAGCUGGUCUGAGAGGAUGACCAGCCACACUGGAACUGAGACACGGUCCAGACUCCUACGGGAGGCAGCAGUGGGGAAUAUUGCACAAUGGGCGCAAGCCUGAUGCAGCCAUGCCGCGUGUAUGAAGAAGGCCUUCGGGUUGUAAAGUACUUUCAGCGGGGAGGAAGGCGGUGAGGUUAAUAACCUUGCCGAUUGACGUUACCCGCAGAAGAAGCACCGGCUAACUCCGUGCCAGCCGCCGCAGUAACAC
rnacentral:rRNA from 1 species